rnacentral:lncRNA from 1 species
UGUUCUUCUUUGUGUGUGUGUGUGUGUGUGUGUGUGUGUGUGUGUGUGUGUUUAGUAAGUGAUGAGGUAACCUCAUACUGAUCUGCUAUCUUCAUUAGAUCACUCUGUUGUUGCAGAGAAUGUUGCUGCACAGCAGGAAAUGCAAACUUCUAAAAAGUUUUCCUGUUGAGAAACCGGUCAAAUUUAAAGAUGGCGGAUCUGUAGGGGUGCCUGGGGGGAUUGAGGUAGCAGAUCUGUAGGGGUGCCUGGGGGAUUGAGGUAGCAGAUCUGUAGGGGUGCCUGGGGGAUUGAGGUAGAAAAUCUGUAGGGGUGCCUGGGGGGAUUGAGGUAGCAGAUCUGUAGGGGUGCCUGGGGGGAUUGAGGUAGCAGAUCUGUAGGGGUACCUGGGGGAUUGAGGUAGAAGAUCUGUAGAGGUGCCUGGGGGGAUUGAGGUAGCAGAUCUGUAGGGGUGCCUGGGGGGAUUGAGGUAGCAGAUCUGUAGGGGUGCCUGGGGGGAUUGAGGUGGCCGUUUCUAUCUCCCACCAUUCACUAUGAAGACAUUUUGUAGAGCACUUGUUUCCCCGCAGACUAAAAGCUUUAAAUAAAAUGAUAAAUGGGAAUCGACUGGUUUUUAGCUGUGGUCAUAUUUGAGCCCUCAGUGUCUUUCUGAAAAACAGACUGUUCAGGGACGAUUCAAUAGUCAUGUACACUGAACUAAAAUAUAAAUCUCAACAUGUACAAGUGUUGGUCUCUAUGUUUCAUGAGCUGAAAUAAAAGAUCCCAGAAAUGUUCCAUAUGCACAAAAAAAAACGUAUUUCUCAAAAAUGUUUGUGCACAACUUUGUUUACAUCCUUGUUGGUGAGCGUUUCU